CGGCAUGGAUUAGGCAUGCAAGUCGCACGAGAACCCAAAUAGCUUGCUAUGAGGGGGACAGUGGCGCAAGGGAGAGUAACGCGUGGUUAUGUACCUUCGAGACCGGGAUAGUGUCGGGAAACUGGCAGUAAUACCGGAUAACAUCUUCGGAUCAAAUGGUGUGAUUCCGCUCGAAGAUCGGACCGCGUACUAUUAGCUUGUUGGUGGGGUAAUGGCCCACCAAGGCUGCGAUGGUUACCGGGUGUGAGAGCAUGGCCCGGCUCACUGGGACUGAGACACUGCCCAGACACCUACGGGUGGCUGCAGUCGAGAAUCUUCGGCAAUGGGCGAAAGCCUGACCGAGCGAUGCCGCGUGCGGGAUGAGGGCCCUCGGGUUGUAAACCGCUGUCAGUUGUUAGGAAAUCUAUAGGGGUUCUCUCCUAUGGUUGACCGAUCUUCAGAGGAAGUCCGGGCUAAGUACGUGCCAGCAGCCGCGGUAACACGUACCGGACAAACGUUAUUCGGAAUUACUGGGCUUAAAGAGUACGUAGGCGGCCUUGUAGGUGAGGUGUGAAAGCCCACGGCCUAACCGUGGAAUUGCGCUUCAAACCACAGGGCUUGAGGGAGACAGGGGUGAGCGGAACUGAUGGUGGAGCGGUGAAAUGCGUUGAUAUCAUCAGGAACACCGGUGGCGAAGGCGGCUCACUGGGUCUCUUCUGACGCUGAGGUACGAAAGCUAGGGUAGCGAACGGGAUUAGAUACCCCGGUAGUCCUAGCUGUAAACGAUGAGCACUAGUUCGGGGGGACUUCCACAUCCUCCCGGACGUAGCGAAAGUGUUAAGUGCUCCGCCUGGGGAGUAUGGUCGCAAGGCAA
rnacentral:rRNA from 1 species